rnacentral:lncRNA from 1 species
AUAAGUUUCUUUUAUAUAAAAACAGUGAUUUUCAGUCUUGGCAUUUCUUUUUCAACAAAAAAGAAAGGAAAACGAGUGUCUGCUAAUUCAUUUUACUCACACAUGACUAUUAAUUCCAUGAAACUAUCAAAUCUAAUUGAAAACACACAUUUGGAUAUAUUUUGGUUCACAAUUGUCAAGAAAACUGCAGGAUUAAUUGCAAUUGUUCCGC